rnacentral:rRNA from 1 species
UACGUAGGGUGCGAGCGUUGUCCGGAAUUACUGGGCGUAAAGAGCUCGUAGGUGGUUUGUCGCGUCGUCUGUGAAAUUCCGGGGCUUAACCUCGGGCGUGCAGGCGAUACGGGCAAUACUUGAGUGCUGUAGGGGAGACUGGAAUUCCUGGUGUAGCGGUGAAAUGCGCAGAUAUCAGGAGGAACACCAAUGGCGAAGGCGGGUCUCUGGGCAGUUACUGACGCUGAGGAGCGAAAGCAUGGGUAGCGAACAGGAUUAGAUA